GGGGUUGUGGCUCAGUGGUAGAGCACUUGCCUUGCACGCAUGAGGCACUGGGUUCAAUCCUCAGCACCCCA
rnacentral:tRNA from 1 species